rnacentral:rRNA from 1 species
UACGUAGGUGACCAGCGUUGUCCGGAUUUACUGGGCGUAAAGAGCACGUAGGUGGUUCGUUAAGUCGCGUGUGAAAUCCCCCGGCUCAACCGGGGAAUUGCGCGUGAUACUGGCGAACUCGAGGCGGGUAGGGGUGAGCGGAACUCCAGGUGGAGCGGUGAAAUGCGUAGAUAUCUGGAGGAACACCGGUGGCGAAAGCGGCUCACUGGACCCGAUCUGACACUGAGGUGCGAAAGCUAGGGUAGCAAACGGG